CCGAUGGCUGUGAAUACGAUUUGGGCCGCUUUAGCCAGAAGGGGCUUCCUAAUCUGAAAAGGUCUCAACCCAUUUUGGGUAAGUCUCUGUCUCGUUUUCUUUCGCUGGUGCUUCUUGUGUUAUUUUUGGUUUUUUGCUGAGUGGCGACCUGUUACAAACAGAUGAUGAGCCAGAAGUGAAGCCGGCUAAGAGGGUGAGGAAGAAUCUGUACAGGGGGAUCCGGCAGCGUCCUUGGGGAAAAUGGGCGGCUGAGAUUCGUGAUCCCAGUAAAGGGGUUCGGGUUUGGCUCGGGACCUUCAACACUGCGGAAGAAGCUGCGAGAGCUUACGACAGGGAGGCUCGGAAAAUUCGGGGGAAGAAAGCAAAGGUUAACUUCCCCAAUGAAGACGAUGACUACACUGAGAAUCACCAAAAUCACCGUGCUCUACCAACUCGCUGGAAC
rnacentral:lncRNA from 1 species